rnacentral:rRNA from 1 species
UGCAGUCGAGCGAGAGAGUUCCUUCGGGAACAAUCUAGCGGCGGACGGGUGAGUAACACGUGGGCAACCUGCCUCAUAGAGGGGAAUAGCCUCCCGAAAGGGAGAUUAAUACCGCAUAAUAUCAUUGAGUGGCAUCAUUUAAUGAUUAAAGGAGUAAUCCGCUAUGAGAUGGGCCCGCGGCGCAUUAGCUAGUUGGUGAGGUAACGGCUCACCAAGGCGACGAUGCGUAGCCGACCUGAGAGGGUGAUCGGCCACAUUGGGACUGAACACGGCCCAGACUCCUACGGGAGGCAGCAGUGGGGAAUAUUGCACAAUGGGGGAAACCCUGAUGCAGCAACGCCGCGUGAGUGAUGAAGGUCUUCGGAUGAAAGCUCUGUCUUCAGGGACGAUAAUGACGGUACCUGAGAGAAGCCACGGCUAACUACGUGCCAGCAGCCGCGGUAAUACGUAGGUGGCAAGCGUUAUCCGGAUUUACUGGGCGUAAAGGGAGCGUAGGCGGAUAAUUAAGUGGGAUGUGAAAUACCCGGGCUCAACUUGGGUGCUGCAUUCCAAACUGGUUAUCUAGAGUGCAGGA